UACGUAGGGGGCAAGCGUUGUCCGGAAUCAUUGGGCGUAAAGAGCGUGUAGGCGGCUCGAUAAGUCCGCUCUGAAAGCCCGGGGCUCAACCCCGGGAGGCGGGCGGAAACUGUCGGGCUAGAGUCCGGAAGAGGCGAGUGGAAUUCCCGGUGUAGCGGUGAAAUGCGCAGAUAUCGGGAGGAACACCAAUGGCGAAGGCAGCUCGCUGGGACGUGACUGACGCUGAGGAGCGAAAGCGUGGGGAGCAAACAGG
rnacentral:rRNA from 1 species